rnacentral:lncRNA from 1 species
AUGGGGCCUCUGAUGAGGAUGAAAAACCACAACAGCAACAACCUGGUGCUCAGGAGCAGGCCUGAUCCCAGAGACAGAGGGAAGGCCCCUCUGACCACUCCUAAGGGCUGUGCCCACCCCUCGCCCCCCAUGGGGCAGGGUCCAUGGCUCCCAUGGUGGGAGAGCAGCUCCCUGCAGAGAAAGGGAAGCAGGCUCCUACACCCCCAUCCACAAGAAGCCAAUGCAGUAUGUGUGGUGGGGGCUCUGGGGAGGAGGAACAGUGCCCCAAACAUGGGUGGAGAACACCCAGCAAGGUUAAAGCUGGUCCCCAAGAGAGAAGUGAGGGUGGCUUUGAAACUUGCUCAAAUGAACCCUUCAUGGACCCUCCCCCUAACAGAAAGUCCCCUCCCAGAAUUCCCACAAACAAUCCAGGACCUUCUCUGCCUAGCUGGCGCUCAGUGGAUACAGGUUUCUGUGGACACACACACAGUAUGUGGGAGAUGGACUAAGAAAGGCUUCCUAGAGGCUCACAUUUCCAUCUAUUUCCCCAGUAGAUCACAUCAGUGCAGAUUCAUCAACAUCCUAGACUCUUUGCAUUACCUACAUAGUAGAUGGUAG